GCAUUGGUGGUUCAGUGGUAGAAUCCUCGCCUGCCACGCGGGGGGCCCGGCCCGGGUUCGAUUCCCGGCCAAUGCA